rnacentral:lncRNA from 12 species
GGGUCCCCGUUCCCAGAAGUCCCAGCUUGGAAAACGGCCGCCGUGCCAGGCUGAGAGCCGCGCUGAGGGCCUAAGAGGAAACGCGCCGGGAGCCAAGGUGCCGCGGGGAGGAAGGAAGCCGGUCUGUCGCCACAAAGGAGUCAGGAAAGAGAGGGAACAAACAGCCAAGUGCUUCCUGCCCACCCUCCUUCCUCCCUCCCCGCCCCGCACGCCCCACCAGCCUCCUGCACACAGGCCCGCCGUCCAGGGCCCGGGGACAGGGAGGGGCGCCGAGACCCACCUUCCAGCCCACGGCACCCCUGCGCCCACCGCCGGGUGGUCGCCCCCAGCCCAGCCAGGCAGCCCCGACGCCGGUGUCUGGGCUGAGAGAGCAGGCCCCUGGCUAGCGAGGGACGGGAUGGUGGGGGUGGCGGCCGCCUUGGGGCCCGGCAAGGCCCACACCCAGCUGCACACGGACACAAGCACGUGCGGGCGUUGAGGCGCACACUUCUCACCUACGUAAACAUCCGCGUCACGGCCCCCUCCGGGCCGGCCAGCCCGAAUGGCGAACUCACGCAGGGCACCUGGGCCAACUUGGGCCACAGCCUCUCCCGGCCUCGACUCUUCCCGGGCCGGUUUCUCCUCCGCUCUUGCUUCCGCCCCAGAGCCUUCCGCCCGGGCCCCGCCGACGGGGUGGGGGCACCUGAGGGUGCUCGGCCCCCAAGCCUGCGCGUGGUGAAACUCGGUCAGCCCUGCCGGCUUUCUGGAACCCAGCCCCUGGCCCCGAGGUGAUCACAUGGAAAAUGUCCAGCUGUGGUUGCUGGAGAGAUGAGCUCAGCCUGCCCGAGUGGGGCUGGGGGCCUGGACGUGGCGUCAGACUUUCCAUCUCGGACCUCCCCCCCCUCCCACCCCCAAACACUACCCCAGGGAGCCGGGAGCGGGAAAGGGGCCAAGGGGGGGAUGGGCAGAGGAGGGGGAGCCGGAGGCACCUCCGGGUCUGCCUCACCCCUGCCCGCCCGCUGCAGGGAAAGAAGCCCGGAGAAGAGGGGCACGGGAGACCGGGCCGCGGUGCGAUGGGGGCCGAGGAGGCUGCUUCAGAGACCGGUACUUGGCAGGCGACUCAGCGCCCCAGCAGGCUGGAUCUCCCCGAGGGGAAGGGCAAGCGGCUGGACCUAUUCUUAGCCCGGUACGUGAUCCCUGGAAAACCAGCGUGCUCAUUACAAGGCGACGAUGGACAGGGAGGAAUUUGCAGCCAAGGAAGGAGUGUGCGUGGUUAUGGGGGGUGGAGAGGUGAGGAGGGCAACAGGCCCAGAGACUCACGGGGAGGACUUCUGUCCUUCAUGAGAAGCAAGCAGGGGGGACGUGCUGACCCCCACCCCAGCCUCGCACCACGGCAAACCUAUUUUGUUAAGGACAAACCCGCGCUGCACACGCGCACCCCGACUCCCUCCCGAGCA